UUGAAAAUGAUGAACGAAACAAUCCAACUCUUAUUUGAAAAUGAUGUUUAACUUGAGCUUUUUAACCCUGAUUCAAG